rnacentral:rRNA from 1 species
UACGGAGGGGGCUAGCGUUGUUCGGAAUUACUGGGCGUAAAGGGCGCGUAGGCGGCCUGUUAAGUCAGACGUGAAAUCCCUCGGCUCAACCGGGGAACUGCGUCUGAUACUGGCGGGCUUGAAUUCGGGAGAGGGAUGUGGAAUUCCAGGUGUAGCGGUGAAAUGCGUAGAUAUCUGGAGGAACACCGGUGGCGAAGGCGGCAUCCUGGACCGACAUUGACGCUGAGGCGCGAAAGCCAGGGGAGCAAACGGG